UUGCUUGUUUAUGACUAACCUUGAGUUUGUUUUGUAGGCAUUGAGAUUUAUGCUUAGGCCUUGUGGCUUGCACCUAUGUGCAUUGAUGCUUGUUAUCUGUUUGUGCUGUGGACUUGUAAUAUUCUGUUUGACUGUUUAAGCUGAGUACUGAUUGUAUUAGAUUGAUUUUAGGUACAUUAGUUGCUAUAGUUCAUUGUGAACUUGCUUGUGUUGUUGCUUGGUUGUAUAAACCAA
rnacentral:lncRNA from 1 species